rnacentral:ncRNA from 1 species
AGUAUAAAUGUGAAUAUAUAAAAACUCAGUCAUAAAAGGGAAGACCAUCCCUCUGAGGUGUACUUGAAUGUAUCGGAACAACGUUGACUGAUAGGUUAAUGUGAUGCCGUUUAGUACUGAAGUGAUUUAGUACUAAGAAGUACUGGUAGAGGUACAACUACAAGAGUAUAUCGCUUAUAACAAUGAAUAAUAAAGCGCAAUGAGGUUGUACGUGUCAUAAAGAGAAGCACUCUGGAUAAGAGAGUGCUUACUCGCCACAAACCAUGUAAGUUAUGGGAAUAGCUUAGGAUGUUAGGUGGUAAAAUCCAAUAAGACGCCUGUGUAGAAGAAAACUAAUGUAGAAAUACAUUAGAAUACAACGAGUUGGUACAAGUAGCCAAAGUCUACGCUUAUGUGAAAAACAAAUAAUUUUUUAAUGUUGGAGUACAUUAAACUUUAAAUUAAGCUGAAUGGUUGGUGAACGUUAAGGGUAGUUAGCCCCUUCAUAUCAUAGGUCUUUUUAAGACGGUUAAGAAAGUCGCGGAUGACGGUCCAAAGGCUCAGCUCUUAGUCGUAUGUUGCUUAAUAAUUUGCAGUUGUCGAAUAUAGUCGGGGGAAACCCCUGUAUAUAUUCACAUUUAUA